GAUAAACGCUGGCGGCGUGCUUUAUGCAUGCAAGUCGAACGAUCCGCCGCAAGGUGGAUAGUGGCAGACGGGUGAGUAACGCGUAAGUUAUCUAUCCUUGAGUGGGGAAUAACCCCGAGAAAUUGGGGCUAAUACCGCAUGACGCGCUGAGAAUAAUAUUUUAGCGUCAAAGCCGCAAGGCGCUUGAGGAUGAGCUUGCGUCCUAUCAGGUAGUUGGUAGGGUAAUGGCCUACCAAGCCGAUGACGGGUAGCUGGUCUGAGAGGAUGUCCAGCCACACUGGGACUGAGAUACGGCCCAGACUCCUACGGGAGGCAGCAGCAAGGAAUUUUGCGCAAUGGGCGAAAGCCUGACGCAGCAACGCCGCGUGGGUGAAGAAGGCCUUCGGGUCGUAAAGCCCUUUUGUUAGGGAAGAAGUUCUGACGGUACCUAAUGAAUAAGCCUCGGCUAACUACGUGCCAGCCGCCGCAGUAAUAC
rnacentral:rRNA from 1 species